rnacentral:lncRNA from 1 species
CUCAAAAAUCAUUGUUUAUUUAAAAUCUACAACUGCUGACGUUUUGUAACGUUCGCAUUCCAGAUACAACAGAGAAAUGCAUAAUGUCCAGUCAAUUUAUUAAAGUUCCAAAGUCGGUCGCGCGCAGUGGCUCACGCCUGUAAUCUCAACACUUCGGGAGGCCGAGGCGUGUGGAUCACGAGUAUGUUUCCAGUCUCAAUAGAAAUCGAUGCCAAUCCAGAAAUACAAGCAUUAUUCUAAUACUUCUCACACAUUACUGGAGUGAGGACACAGCGAAAGUGAGACAAGGAAAAGAGAACAAAAUAAAACAGGAAAGACAGAAAAGCCAAUACCACACGUGUUAAGAGGUAAGUUCCUGUGUUAGAUAUCUGGGCUUAAUUUUAUGGGAAGCUAUGUGGAGCAUGCCUCAGAAUUACAUCACUGAAUCCAGGGAGAUUCUUCUUAGUUACCCUCACCUUUUCUUCCCACUUCAUGCCCAGUAACAAGCUCCCGUGCUGCUAGAGAAAGUCCUCAGCUAGAAACUGGUGCAAAUUCUGGAGAUGAGACCUUGUAGAGUGUUAAGAAUGGUUUUCUUCCCAGCAGCUACAGCUAAGGAAUAGGGGCUGGGCUAUGAAUACAUCUGCUACAAACCAAUAAAGCCCUUAUGCUCCUUUUGGUGAUCGACAAUGUAUUUAAAAAUAUUAGAUGAUCAAGAAGGGCUGCAGAAAGGAGGAAACAGAAACAAACAGCACACCU